rnacentral:rRNA from 1 species
CCUACGGGAGGCAGCAGUGGGGAAUAUUGCACAAUGGAGGGAACUCUGAUGCAGCGACGCAGCGUGCAUGAAGAAGUAAUUCGUUAUGUAAAGCUCUAUCAGCAGGGGAAUAAGUCACGUUACCUGAAAAAGUAGCUCCGGCUAAAUACGUGCCAGCAGCCGCGGUAAUACGUAUGGAGCAAGCGUUAUCCGGAUUUACUGGGUGUAAAGGGAGCGCAGGCGGCGCGUUAAGCCUGGUGUGAAAGGCCGGGGCCCAACCGCGGGACUGCAGUGGGAACUGGCGCGCUGGAGUGCCGGAGGGGUAGGCGGAAUUCGUGGUGUAGCGGUGAAAUGCGUAGAUAUGAGGAGGAACCCCAGUGGCGAAGGCGGCCUACUGGACGGUGACUGACGCUGAGGCUCGAAAGCGUGGGGAGCGAACAGGAUUAGAUACCCUUGUAGUC